rnacentral:rRNA from 1 species
GAUGAACGCUGGCGGCGUGCCUAAUACAUGCAAGUCGAGCGAACAGACGAGGAGCUUGCUCCUCUGACGUUAGCGGCGGACGGGUGAGUAACACGUGGAUAACCUACCUAUAAGACUGGGAUAACUUCGGGAAACCGGAGCUAAUACCGGAUAAUAUAUUGAACCGCAUGGUUCAAUAGUGAAAGACGGUUUUGCUGUCACUUAUAGAUGGAUCCGCGCCGCAUUAGCUAGUUGGUAAGGUAACGGCUUACCAAGGCAACGAUGCGUAGCCGACCUGUGAGGGGGAUCGGCCACACUGGAACUGAGACGCGGUCCAGACUCCUACGGGAGGCAGCAGUAGGGAAUCUUCCGCAGUGGGCGAAAGCUUGACGGAGCAACGCCGCGUGAGUGAUGAAGGUCUUCGGAUCGUAAAACUCUGUUAUUAGGGAAGAACAAAUGUGUAAGUAACUAUGCACGUCUUGACGGUACCUAAUCAGAAAGCCACGGCUAACUACGUG